GUCCCUGUAGCGCAGUGGGUAGUGCAUUGGACUUCUAAUUCAAAGGUCCGGGUUCGACUCCCGGCAGGAAUG